CCCUACGGGGGGCAGCAGUGGGGAAUUUUGGACAAUGGGCGCAAGCCUGAUCCAGCUAUUCCGCGUGUGGGAUGACGGCCCUCGGGUUGUAAACCACUUUAGUAGAGAACGAAAAGGAGCUAUCGAAUAAAUAGCUCUGCUGACGGUACUCUAAGAAUAAGCACCGGCUAACUACGUGCCAGCAGCCGCGGUAAUACGUAGGAUGCGAGCGUUAUCCGGAUUUAUUGGGUUUAAAGGGUGCGCAGGCGGAGGUGCAAGUCAGCGGUCAAAUUGCGGGGCUCAACCCCGUACUGCCGUUGAAACUG
rnacentral:rRNA from 1 species